AGUGAACGCUGGCGGCGCGCCUAAUACAUGCAAGUCGAGCGAGAAGGUGUAGCAAUACACUUGUAAAGCGGCGAACGGGUGAGGAAUGCAUGGGUAACCUACCCUCGAGUGGGGAAUAACUAGCCGAAAGGUUAGCUAAUACCGCAUACGUUUCCGGAACUUCGGUUUCGGAAAGAAAGCAAUACCGUGGGUAUUGCGCUCCUGGAUGGGCUCAUGUCCUAUCAGCUUGUUGGUGAGGUAACGGCUCACCAAGGCUUCGACGGGUAGCUGGUCUGAGAGGACGAUCAGCCACACUGGCACUGCGACACGGGCCAGACUCCUACGGGAGGCAGCAGUAAGGAAUAUUGCGCAAUGGACGAAAGUCUGACGCAGCGACGCCGCGUGGGGGAUGAAGGUCUUCGGAUUGUAAACCC
rnacentral:rRNA from 1 species